CAUGUUGUGGACGCUGUAGUCCUUUGCUUUUGCUGCGUGUUGUUCUUGUCACUAGUAAUAACUAUGUCCAGAUUUAUUCCAAGGUUUGGUUUAGUCCUUCAUCUUGCUCCUGGUUCUUUUUCUUUUGGUCUAACACAAGUGAAACAAGAUUUUUUUCACAUCUUUCGUCUCUGAACCCAAAUAGUUCUACAUGUAACGUGGUCCUACAGAGGAGCCUUUACGCACAAACUUUCACUUUGGCACAGACUUGGAAAUCAAAUAUUAUAAUAUGACAACUUAGUGUAGAAAUGGCUUAACUUGUAGAUGACUUGCCAGGAAAGUUCCACAGUAUGGCAUUAGACUAAAUGUCUGUUUUUACAAUGUGUUUUUGAGCAAUAAAACCACUUAGACUAGAUCCACAGGGACUUGGACACAGCAGCUCACACAUUACAGUAUAACAAUAUUUAUUUUAAUAAUCAGUGAACCAAAUAGAUCAUGAAUACAUAAAUAUACAAGUGUACAGAUUUUUUUUGGACAUGUAAAAGUAAAUAUAGUAAAAUAGCUCUAUGUCUAUGCUAUAAAGAGUUGGGAUACAGUAGGAGAUACAGCGCAAAGAUGAAAAAUGUAGUUUGACCAGUAUAAAGCUCCUGUGACCUCUCAGGCGUUCAGGUUCAAGGUGAUUAAUGCCAAGUUUAAUGCCCUACUGUGCGACAUUUCAAGCAAAGCAAUAAUAUCUCUGUGGAGACCAGCAGGUGGCAGAUCCUCCAACAGAAAAUGGGCAUCAUUUUCAACUUUUUCUGAAAUUUGAAUCAUCAGUUUUGACAAACAUGUAGGUCUAAUGAUCUCCUGCUGCAUUUUCUUUAAUUCUGACUCAAAACAGUUUCCCUCUCCAGUGUUAUUGUCGUUUAUAGAAGGAGGAGCCAUGAGCCACAGACAAGCACAAAUGUGAAAACUCUUCUUAAAAUGGGAUUAAUUGGACUAUUUCUUGGCAAUAAUUCACCUCCAAAAGCCACAUACUCAACUUGACCUGCCGAAAUACACACAGGUGUCAUAUAGAUUGUUAGUUUUUUUUUGUUUUUUUUAUAUAAUAAAAAAAAAUAAACUCUCUUUCAGUACAAACAUAAAGGCUUCAGCCAGUAAAAAUCUAUUAUAUUUGAUGGGGGUUUUUUUUUGUUUGUUUUUUUUUACUCAAAAUGAUGCAGAAUCAUCACAUUAACACUGUUUAUAAUCACCUACAGAACAUAAAGCAGAGACUACAACACAUGAACCAGGACUGAACCAAGACUGAACCAAGACUAUACGAGGACUAAACCAGGACUAAAACAGGACUAAAACAGGAAUUAAAGAGGACUAAACCAGGUCUAAACCAGGACUAAACCAGGACUGAACCAGGAAUAAAAGAGGACUAAACCAGGUCUAAACCAAGUCCAAACCAGGACUAAACCAGGAAUAAAAGAGGACUAAACCAGGUCUAAACCAGGACUAAACCAGGACUGAACCAGAACUGAAUCAAGACUAAACCUGGACUAAACCAGAUCUAAACCAGGACUAAACUGGGUCUAAACCAAGUCCAAAACCAGGACUAAAACAGGAAUAAAAGAGGACUAAACCAGGUCUAAACCAGGUCUAAACCAGGACUAAAUCAGG